UGAAACUGGAUGCAGUGCUUCCAGUUCUCAAUUUCGUGUGAUUAAUGGCAGUGGUCGUUUCCACUUCUAACCUGUUAACAGAUGCAUAACACCCUCAAGGUCCAUCUGUGUUGUCGCAAGUGGCAAGAUUUCAUCUUUUGUAUGGCUGAGUAGUAUUCCAAGAAGACUAACACUGAGGACCUCUGGACUUCAGAAUCUCCAUCUGUGCAAGGAGGAUACAACAUGUACCCUUCCUACCUCCAAGGAUGGUGCAAGGAUCAAAUAAGUCUUCUUCAUUUGAGCACACUGCUGAGCUGCGUGAAGAUGACUGCCUAAGUUGUGUGUCUCCACUGAGACUGGACGUCGGCAGCACAUCGCAGGGCCCACUGCUCACGGUAACAUGGGCGCAAGAGGACGUUCGGGGCUUUACCUGAGGAGGAAAAGGUGAACUUCAAUACUGACACUUCAUAUACCUCAUGCUGUUCUUGGAAAAGAUCAUUUUUAAGUAACUCACUAGUGUAGGUAUAAAAUAAAAGUUCUCCCCGAACAUAUAUUUCAAUGAAACAUUUAAAAAAAUCGAGAUGAAAUUUGUGUUGGUAUUAGUAUGCAUUAGUCAGGAUGAUUUUGUUUCACGUGAUUGAAACUAACUCAAAUUAGUUAGGGAAUAGGAGAUUUCCUUGCCUCAUGUAACCAAACGUCAGGACAGACAAAGCUGCCCCGAGACCUCAGGGGCUCCAGUGGGCCAUGUCACCUGCUUGUCUCUUCUUUGCUCUUCAUAUUGUGUCUAUUCUCCCAGACUAGCUUCAUCCACAUGGCUGGAAAGAUGGCUAACAGUAAUUUCCAGGCUCAUAGUUUCAUCACUAGAGAGGGAUUAAAACUCAGUCACCCCGUUGUCAGGUUAAAACUCCCUGGGAAAGGUUUUCAUUGCAUCAGGUGUUAUCCAGGGACCAGUCAGCUGCAGCCAGGAGGAUAAGAUAUGGCCAUCAGUUCAUCUGCGUCUACCUGGGCAGCCCUGACCACCCACUGCCAUCAAGAUGGAUGACAGGAAUUCUCACGCGGAGAGUGACUGGAACGGAGAAAGGGGUGUUCUGUGGAAGGGUACAGCAAGUAACGAGUGGAUAGAACAAAAGAUGUCAUGUAUUAGAUUUCUCUUAUCCCCACUAUUUCCACCCACCAGACUAAUUUUUUUUUUUUGAGGAAGACUAGCCCUGAGCUGACAUCUGCUGCCAAUCCUCCUCUUCUUGCUGAGGAAGACUGGCCCUGAGGUAACAUCCAUGCCCAUCUUCCUUUAUUUUAUAUGUGGGAUGCCUACCACAGCAUGGCUUGCCAAGCAGUGCCAUGUCUGCACCAGGGAUCCGAACCAGCGAACCACGGGCCACCGAAGCGGAACGUGUGCACUGAACUGCUGUGCCACCGCGCCGGCCCCAGCCGGACUAAUUUUAUAUUCUUUUUUGGCUUUGGCAUAUAGACCAG
rnacentral:lncRNA from 1 species